AGUGAACGCUGGCGGUAGGCCUAACACAUGCAAGUCGAACGGCAGCACAGUAAGAGCUUGCUCUUACGGGUGGCGAGUGGCGGACGGGUGAGGAAUACAUCGGAAUCUACUUUUUCGUGGGGGAUAACGUAGGGAAACUUACGCUAAUACCGCAUACGACCUACGGGUGAAAGCAGGGGAUCUUCGGACCUUGCGCGAUUGAAUGAGCCGAUGUCGGAUUAGCUAGUUGGCGGGGUAAAGGCCCACCAAGGCGACGAUCCGUAGCUGGUCUGAGAGGAUGAUCAGCCACACUGGGACUGAGACACGGUCCAGACUCCUACGGGAGGCAGCAGUGGGGAAUAUUGGACAAUGGGCGCAAGCCUGAUCCAGCUAUACCGCGUGGGUGAAGAAGGCCUUCGGGUUGUAAAGCCCUUUUGUUGGGAAAGAAAAGCAGCAGGUUAAUACCCCGCUGUUCUGACGGUACCCAAAGAAUAAGCACCGGCUAACUUCGUG
rnacentral:rRNA from 1 species